UCAUCUCUUGCUCUCUCUCUUACUCUCUCUCUUACUCUCUCUCUCGGUCGAACACCAAAAUUGUGAAAGGUAGGCGAUUGAAUGAAAGGCUAUGUAAUCAAAGGAGAUUGGGUUUAGAGGAGAUCCGAUGAUGAGGAUAUUGAACCUGCGGAGGCCAUUCGGAGGAUACUGAAUCGACUCCGAGAUUAAAUUGGUUGAGAUUUGAUUUUGGAGUCGAUUGAUUCGGAUGAGAUUGAAGAAUUGGAAUCGGCUGGGUUCUUCGAUUUGCAUUUUAUUGGAAUAUCAUUGCCGUUACUAGAACUUGGAUCAAAGGAGAAGUUUGAAUAACGAUGAAGAAGAAGACUCUGACUGCUUAGGUUUUGUUUCUAUCAUCAACACCACAAUCCAUAAGUGUAGAAUACUUUCAUCUUUAAACAUUGGCAAGGGAGGGCUUAGUAACCAGCCAGCAUACAUAGAGACAUCUGCAAUUGCUUUAACAAAAGAAGUGUCUGACUAAGCAGUUCAAAGAGAUAUGGUUUGAACUUUAAAGUAUGAAUUCAGUUUCAUAAUAAAAACUUGGCCGAUGAGAAUGCUCACGAUAACAACAUCAGACUUCUUCUAGUGAUUGAUGGUCUUUGACUCAAUACAAUACGUCUUCCUUGUCCACUUCGAAUUCUCCAUCCAUAAGUCUUCGCUAGAUGGAGAUAUUAUAUGGUUCCCUUUCCUCCGAUGGAAAAUUCUCUCUUCUUGCUCCCCAACCUAUUUGGAAGCUGUCCAAAAUUGUGGACACCACUAUCAUCAACAGAAGUAAAAGGCGUUAAGAUCAGAGAUGGUUUGAAGAAUGAUGAAGACAACUCAGACGCUUAAGGUUUUGUAUCUAUCAUCAACACAGUUCAUAAGUGAAGUUUGAGAUUUUGGUUUUGAUUGUUGUUGUUUCUCUAUAUGGAUUUGCUGAAACAUGAUACAUGCAAUAAUUUUAAUUUCAUAUUGUACUUUAUUUUUUUAUUUUCAAAAAAAAAAAAUUCAAAUUUAGAGACUCAA